AACUAAUAAUUAUAAUUAAGAGGACAAGUCAACUCCUUAUUCACAUCCCCCCUCAAAUUGAUGCUGCUGGUCAAUGAGCAUCAAUUUGCUAACAAGAAACUGAUGGCGUGGACGCGGAACAGCUUUGAUAAGAAUAUCUGCAACUUGGAACUGAGUACUGACAUGAGGAAGUGCUAUAAGUCUGUCGUCAUAGGCAUCACGAAUGGAAUGAC
rnacentral:lncRNA from 1 species